CCAACAAAAGUGAGUAUUGGAGGAAAGCAAACUGGAAAUCCGUCUCGAAGUGUUCAUGUUUCCAGCUUGUUUUUCUCCAAUAUCUUGCUUUUGGUCG
rnacentral:pre_miRNA from 1 species